rnacentral:rRNA from 1 species
AUUGAACGCUGGCGGCAUGCUUUACACAUGCAAGUCGGACGAGUGGCGAACGGGUGAGUAACAUAUCGGAACGUACCGAGUAAUGGGGGAUAACUAAUCGAAAGAUUAGCUAAUACCGCAUAUUAUUCGAGCGGCCGAUAUCUGAUUAGCUGGGUGGUGGGGUAAAGGCCGACCAAGGCGCAGAACAGUAGCGGGUCUGCGAGGAUGAUCCGCCACACUGUGACUGCGACACGUCCCAGCAUCCUACGGGAGGCAGCAGUGGGGAAUUUUGGACAAUGGGCGAAAGCCUGAUCCAGCCAUGCCGAGUGGUGGAUGAAGGCCUUCGGUUUGUAAAGGACUUUUGGCAGGGAAGCGGUACCUGAAGAAUAAGCACCGGCUAACUACGUGCCAGCAGCCGCGGUAAUAC